UCGGGGUAAAAUAGUGAGUCGCCGACUUGGGGAAGUGAUCAACCCUUGGGAUAAGUUUAAAUCUGCUGUUUUUUACUCCAUAAACUUAAGAUUCUUGUUGGGGUAUAAAAAAAAAAAAAAACCAGAUUUAAAUUUAGCUCAAGGGUUAGUGAUGUAUUUUUUUCAAGGUUGCUCAUUAUUUUACCCAUG
rnacentral:pre_miRNA from 1 species